rnacentral:ncRNA from 1 species
AACAUUGCUUUGAAAAGGAAAAGUAGUUUUGGCGAGACCUGCAGAGAGCUUCUGGUCGGUGUGAAGAAGCGGUCAGACCAAGUGCGAAAAUCACCUUUGAGCGGAAACUGCGAGAUUAGUGGUUUCGGGGUCCGCCCCUUAAAGCGGCAGCGCAUUAUCUGUGCGUGAAGGCCUAACGGCGAAAAUAGGUGGUACCGCGCUAAUAGCGCCCUAUUG